GACAGAGGGUGCAAACGGUGUUCGGAAUUACUGGGCGUAAAGCGCAUGUAGGCGGCCAAGCAAGUCGGGUGUGAAAGCCCAGGGCUCAACCCUGGAAGUGCACUCGAAACUGCUCGGCUGGAGUCUCGGAGAGGAUCGCGGAAUUCUGGGUGUAGAGGUGAAAUUCGUAGAUAUCCAGAGGAACACCAGUGGCGAAGGCGGCGAUCUGGACGAGUACUGACGCUGAGAUGCGAAAGCGUGGGGAGCAAACAGG
rnacentral:rRNA from 1 species